CGUGUAGGCGGGGAUACAAGUCAGAUGUGAAAUACCGCAGCUUAACUGCGGGGCUGCAUCUGAAACUGUGUUUCUUGAGUGUCGGAGAGGAAAGUGGAAUUCCCAGUGUAGCGGUGAAAUGCGUAGAUAUUGGGAGGAACACCAGUGGCGAAGGCGACUUUCUGGACGAUAACUGACGCUGAGGCGCGAAAGCGUGGGGAGCAAACAGGAUUAGAUACCCUGGUAGUCCACGCUGUAAACGAUGGAUACUAGGUGUAGGAGGUAUCGACCCCUUCUGUGUCGGAGUUAACACAAUAAGUAUCCCACCUGGGGAGUACGGCCGCAAGGUUGAA
rnacentral:rRNA from 1 species